GCCAUGGCAAGACAUGAAAUCCAUUAGCUUUCCGAAUCCUAACCGAGAGAAGAACGUGAAAUGAAGUCAGCAGUAUCAUCACUGUUUAGCUCCAAGAAUCUCAAUCUCCACCAUUCUCCUUUCUCUCCUUCUCAUUAUCGCUCCUCCAUUUUACACUCCAAAUCGAUCGCUCACCUAUCUCCUACACUCUAUCACAACAUCAAGAAGAACACCACCUGCGAUUUCAUCAAUCUUAACCACAAGUUCAAAUUCCACUCUUCAUUUGCUCCAGUAAUGGCUUCCUCUUUCAAGCCUGAGCAAGCCAGGGCUCCUCCCGCCGUCCCCUUGCCCACUCCUCCCGUUACCAAGUUUAAGAUAGGGUUGUGCCAGUUACUGGUUACUGCGGAUAAGGACAGAAACAUUGCACAUGCUCGCAAAGCAAUCGAGGAGGCUGCCGGAAAGGGUGCCCAGCUAGUUGUCUUGCCCGAAAUAUGGAAUAGUCCUUAUUCCAAUGAUAGUUUCCCAGUUUAUGCUGAGGACAUAGAUGCGGGCAGCAAUGCGUCCCCUUCAACAGCCAUGCUUUCUGAAGUUGCUCGACUUCUGAAGAUCACCAUAGUUGGUGGCUCUAUCCCAGAACGUUCCGGGGAUCGGUUGUAUAAUACAUGUUGUGUCUUUGAUACCGAAGGAAAGUUGAUAGCCAAACACAGGAAGAUACACCUUUUUGAUAUUGACAUUCCCGGGAAGAUUACCUUUAUAGAGUCGAGGACUUUAACAGCAGGGCAGACUCCAACCAUUGUGGACACAGAAGUUGGUCGUAUUGGUAUAGGUAUCUGUUAUGACAUUCGAUUUCAAGAAUUGGCAAUGAUAUAUGCAGCAAGAGGUCUGUUUCUUCCUUCUAUUGACUGUAAUAUCCUUUUGGUAAUAUUUGUGGAUUUUGCCAGGUAAGCAUAAAUUUUCAUUACCAAUUUGCAAAUUUUAGGGGAUUAUAUCAGCAAUUAAAGUUCUUCCACAUUUUAAUCAGAAAUAUGAAUGUAUCUAUUAAUAUACUUGCAACUACACAAACCUUAAUAAACUUUUCAAUUCUGCUCAUGUUAAAUUGGCAGUGUCUACUUCUCUGAUUUCAACAUUUCUAAAGUAAGGAUCAUGAAUUUGUGAAGACACUAUGUACUAUUUAGUCUAUGUAUGAUGCUUUUGAUUAAGUUAUUGUUUUAGCGUCAUAACCUUUUUUCCCCCUUUUGUUUAUGCUCUCUGAUUACCUCUAUACUUUAAUUUUGGUCUUCUUAUGCCUUCCAUUGGUUUAAAUGUCAGAUCGGUGUGUUGGUAAUUAUGUUGUUUUAUCAGUUUCAUUAAUGAACUGAACACUGAUGGUAGUGUCAUCAUAUUGUUGAUGUCAGGAGCUCACUUGAUUUGCUACCCUGGGGCGUUUAACAUGACAACUGGACCGUUACACUGGGAGUUACUGCAGAGAGCAAGGUGCUAUUAUAUUCAGUUAUUUUCAGUUUGCAGAAAUCAUCUCUGUGAUAAAUUUUUGUGCUGUUAGUCAAUGUGCUAAAUCUAGCACCCAGGGAGAGAAUGUUUGGUGUCAGUGACUGCAGAGAGUAUAUGACAUGAUAUUUUGUUAUUAUUAUUAAUGUAAAUAUUUUAGAGCCACUUAAGUGACAGAAUAAUAUGGGAAUUUUUCCUCCAAAGGAUUUAGGUGAUGCAGAGCAGAACUAUUUUUUUUUUCUGUGGAAACUGUCUUUGAGAAUAUCUUUAUUAUCUGCAAAAGGCAUUUGACUUGUCAUUUAUUUUAAUUGCGCAUCCUGCUAUUAGAAGAGGAAAAAAUUCAAGACAUAGUGCAUUUAUAUUAAUGGCGUGCCCAUUAUUAUGCAUGGUCUAGUAUUAGUAGGAGUUGUUCUCAUAAACUACUAACACUAGAUGUAUGCUUAUGUUCCCUUUAACAUGUUAUUUUCCAGGAUGAGGUUAUGAACGUCCUCUUCCCAAAGUCUCUCACUCCUUUGUUAGUUCAGUUAUUCUAUGACUAAAAUGUAGAGUGUGGUCUUUGCUGUUUGUAUCUGUAUGUGAUCAUUUAAUCUUUAUACUGAUUUUUACCUUGCUUUUUAAUGUGCAGGGCUGCAGAUAAUCAGGUAAAGUAGUAAACUUCCUUUUGCUGUGUUUCUGGUCAAAGUUGUUGCUCUCUUUGGGAGACAGAUAUAGCAUAGACAGAAGUUGAAUGCUUAAACCAAAAUAUGGUCACAAAUUCAGUUCCCACUGUCUCCACCUGUAUAAUCAAAUAUAUCACCUAGGACACCAAAUAUGAUGUGGUAAUUUUCUUAAUCUGUGACAACCAAUGCUUCCUAUGCCUGCAGGGGACUGCACUCACAUUUUACUUAUGCUGCAUGCCUUUGGUUCAGUUUUUUUUCUUUUCUUCCCGUUGGGAAGGGGGGGUGGGGGGUGGUGUGGUUUGGGUUGUAUUUUGUGUGGAUGAGGGGCUGGAUUGGAUCAUUAGAAAACCAGAUAAUUCUAUUAUAGUAUACUUUUGAAAUAUGCAAGAUGACCAUUUUAUCUUUCUUAAUGGACAUACAGCAAAUUAGCUAAUUAAAGAAAACAACAAAAUUAUGUUCUAAAUGAUAGUCUGGGCAUUCAUAAGAUGGAAAAAAGGAGCAUAUCAAGUUGGGUGAAUAAUUCUAGUUAUCUUCUUCCAGUCUAAACUUGUGUCCUUUUUCUUGGUCAGCUUGUUCUUGCUUAGUCCUGGAAAAGGAUAUAUAUAUAUACAGAGCUGUGCUGGAAAGAUUUGCAUGACUUUUUUCCUUCUCUUUUGUAAUGCAAUCGCAUGUAUUUUCAUGUGUCAGAUUUAUCUUAGAUUGAAUACUUUCUCACAGCAUUUUUAUGGUAAUUUUUUAAUGGCAGUUAUAUGUAGCAACUUGUUCCCCUGCUCGAGAUGUUGGAGCUGGUUAUGUGGCUUGGGGCCACUCCACCCUAGUAGGACCAUUUGGAGAAGUUCUGGCUACUACUGAGCAUGACCAGGAUAUAAUCAUAGCAGAGAUCGAUUAUUCUCUAAUUGAGCUGAGAAGGACAAGCCUUCCCUUGACGAAGCAACGGAGAGGUGAUCUUUACCAGUUGGUGGACGUCCAGAGGCUGAACUCUCAAUCAUGAUGACAGGAUACUGCUGCAACAGAUGGGAGUUGACUGAGAAAGCAGUUAUUUGUUCAGGAACAGUUGUUCUUUGCUUUAGUUAUGUAAAAAAUGUGUUGAAUAAUGCAGAGAAAUUAGUCACUGAGUUGAAAUAAUUGCCAAAAAAAAAACCCUCAUUUCAUCAUGUGUGUACUCGGUGCUAAAAGCGAAGAUUGAAUUGAUAAAUUGGCAUAUGAGAAGUCUGGCGGUACCUUCUUCACGUUUUAUUAUGAUUUAUUUAAUCCUUAUACUAGGCCUAAUCUAAGCCCACUAAAAAAUACAAUA
rnacentral:misc_RNA from 1 species